CCUACGGGAGGCAGCAGUAGGGAAUCUUCCACAAUGGACGAAAGUCUGAUGGAGCAACGCCGCGUGAGUGAAGAAGGAUUUCGGCUCGUAAAGCUCUGUUAGCAGUGAAGAAAGAUAGGGGUAGUAACUGGCCUUUAUUGGACGGUAAUUACUUAGCAGGUCACGUCUAACUACGUGCCAGCGCCCGCGGUAAUACGUAGGUGGCAAGCGUUGUCCGGAUUUAUUGGGCGUAAAGCGAGUGCAGGCGGCUCAGUAAGUCUGAUGUGAAAGCCGUCGGCUCAACCGGAGAAUUGCACGAGAAACUGUUGAACUUGAGUGCAGAAGAGGAGAGUGGAACUCCAUGUGUAGCGGUGGAAUGCGUAGAUAUAAGGAAGAACACCAGUGGCGAAGGCGGCUCUCUGGUCUGCAACUGACGCUGAGGCUCGAAAGCAUGGGUAGCGAACAGGAUUAGAUACCCGUGUAGUC
rnacentral:rRNA from 1 species